GUAAGAAUCCCUCAGUCUCUUCCUCACUGCGUUUUCUCAUGUGUCUGUAUUAGAUGUGAAAACUAUUCACUUGCAAUUUGUUUUAAAUCAUUCUUUAAAGUUGAGAACAAUUUGGUUAACAUUUAGUAUUUCCUUGUUGAAAGUAGCAUUGAAAGAACCUGAAAAACUAUUAAACUUCAUCUUGAUACCAUAAAUCAAUCAAGGGAUUGAGAUGGGAUGAAGUGGAUAGAUUUUUAUUCAUUUUUUACUUGUGUUUCUUUCACAAAGAAUUAGAAAGGUUCAUCGAUGUGUGUUCAAAACCACUAAAGCAUAUUUACAGAUGAAAGAUAUCGUUUAUUACAGGAUAUUUUUGCUGCUGGGACGGAUACAAUUUAUACUUCUUUGGAGUGGACAAUGGCAGAGCUUCUAAGGCACCCAAAAACGAUGGAGAAAUUGCAGAAUGAGGUGAGACAAAUAGCUGGAAGCAAACUAGAUAUAACGGAAGAUGAUUUAGAGAAACUUUCCUACUUAAAGGCAGUGAUGAAAGAGAGCCUAAGACUACAUCCUCCGCUUCCUUUGCUGCUCCCUCGAGAAUCUACCCAAGAUAGUUCAAUAUCAGGCUAUGAUAUUGCACGUGGAACCCGAGUAUUAAUCAAUUCUUGGGCAAUUGGAAGAGACCCAUUGGUGUGGGAAAAUCCUAAUGAUUUUCAGCCAGAAAGGUUUUUGAACACAGAAAUGGACUUUAGAGGGCUUAAUUUUGAGUACAUUCCAUUUGGUGCUGGUCGGAGAGGCUGUCCUGGCAUUACAUUUGCCAUAGCUGUUGACGAGCUUGCAUUAGCAAAAUUGAUACUUAAUUUUGACUUUGCCUUGCCAUUUGGAUUAACAGAAAAAGAUUUCGAUAUGAGUGAAGCCCCUGGAAACACUAUCACGAAAAAGUUUCCUCUAGUUGUGACCAUCAGUCCCCCUUCUUGAUGGUGCCUACUGAGAGUAUCAUCACCUCUACUCUUCAAAGUUCCCUCUUAAAAAGUAAAAUAUGUAGUUAUCAUGUUUGUAAUAAAAUCUCGAACGUAUUUGCAAUAGAAAAUUUGAAAUUAUUCACGGAUUGUCAUGUUGUCUUCAUUUAAAGGAAUUGAAAGUAAUUGGAAUGAAGGUUAUCAACAUGUAUUAUCAUAGUGGCACCUCAAAAUUUGAUAGAUAUGAAGAUGUCUUUUAUAUUUAUAUUUUCAAGUUGGUCACUCAACUUAAUAUUGUUUCAAUUUGGUACAAAAUGUUUGUUUUUUAUUUAUUAAAUUUUGUUUGGUUCAACUAAAAAAAUUGAUUAAAAUUUAGCCAUUAUCUAGGCGCAAUUCUUUGGAAAAUUAUAACAAUAAAGUUAUUUGUACAUCUGGGAUGUGAGAGAAGAAGUCAAAAAUUACGACUUGAAUAGUAAAAUAACGGUCAAAAAAUCAAUUUUUUGGGACAAAAAAUCUCUACCAAACGGGGCCUAUAAUUUCAGCUGUAUGUCUGCCUAAUUAAAUAGUUGAGCAUAUCUUGCCGAAUUCAUUCUGGGAUUAAGAAAAAUGAUUUCUUCUUCCCAUUUGAUAGUUCCUCUUGUUUCCUUCAUUUUGUUCAUCAUUUUCCUCUUCAAAUGGUACAGCAAUCCUUCUUCAAAAGCCUUGAAAAGAUUGCCGCCAUCUCCACCAAAGCUUCCCUUGAUUGGAAAUCUUCAUCAACUAGGCCUAUUCCCACAUCGCUCACUGCACGCACUAUCCAAACGCUAUGGUCCACUGAUGUUGCUUCAUCUGGGCAGUGUGCCAGCACUUAUUGUCUCGUCUGCUGAUGCUGCUUGCGAGAUCAUGAAAAAUCAGGACCUGAUUUUCUCAAACAGGCCAAAAUUGAGCGUUAUUGACAAAGUUAUAUAUGGCUCUAAGGACAUAGCUUUUGCUCCUUAUGGUGAGUACUGGAGGCAGGUGAGAAGUAUAUGUGUGCUUCAUCUUUUGAGUAAUAAGAGGGUUCAAUCCUUUCGUCGCAUACGAGAAGAAGAAAUGUCCCUUAUGAUCGAGAAAAUUAGACAUUCUUCUUCAUCUUCGAUAAACUUGAGCAAUAUACUGGUGACGCUUACUAAUGAUAUUAUAUCUCGAGUGGCCCUGGGGAGGAAAUAUAGUGAUGGUGAAGCAGAAGGAAGCACAAAAUUUGAGUUAAUGUUGAAGGAACUGGCAGAGUUAUUAGGUACUUUUAAUCCAGGGGAUUACAUUCCAAGGCUUAACUGGAUUAAGCGUGUUACAGGUUUCGAAGCAAGAGUUGAGAAAUUGGCUAGACGGUUUGAUGAAUUUUUUGAAGGUGUAGUUGAAGAGCACCGAAAUAGAAAGAAAGGAGAGACGAAUCUGAAGGACAGCAGCCACGAGGCAGAUCUUGUGGACAUAUUGCUCGAAGCUCAGAGAGAAAACAUGGCUGUUUCCCCUAUUGAAAAUGAUACAAUCAAAGCUGUCAUUUUUGUAAGAAUCCCUCAGUCUCUUCCUCACUGCGUUUUCUCAUGUGUCUGUAUUAGAUGUGAAAACUAUUCACUUGCAAUUUGUUUUAAAUCAUUCUUUAAAGUUGAGAACAAUUUGGUUAACAUUUAGUAUUUCCUUGUUGAAAGUAGCAUUGAAAGAACCUGAAAAACUAUUAAACUUCAUCUUGAUACCAUAAAUCAAUCAAGGGAUUGAGAUGGGAUGAAGUGGAUAGAUUUUUAUUCAUUUUUUACUUGUGUUUCUUUCACAAAGAAUUAGAAAGGUUCAUCGAUGUGUGUUCAAAACCACUAAAGCAUAUUUACAGAUGAAAGAUAUCGUUUAUUACAG
rnacentral:lncRNA from 1 species